UCACAGGUGAGCCUUCCAAUUCUGGAUU
rnacentral:piRNA from 1 species